rnacentral:piRNA from 1 species
CAGGAGAAGCAAAUUCUGGAGGCUGGAUGC